rnacentral:rRNA from 1 species
UACGUAGGGGGCUAGCGUUGCUCGGAAUCACUGGGCGUAAAGGGCGCGUAGGCGGCCGGCCAAGUCGGGGGUGAAAGCCUGUGGCUCAACCACAGAAUGGCCCUCGAUACUGGACGGCUCGAGACCGGAAGAGGUGGGUGGAAUUCCUAGUGUAGAGGUGAAAUUCGUAGAUAUUAGGAAGAACACGGUGGCGAAGGCGGCCCACUGGUCCGGUACUGACGCUGAGGUGCGAAAGCGUGGGGAGCAAACAGG